GAUGAAGAACGUAGCGAAAUGCGAUAAGUAAUGUGAAUUGCAGAAUUCCGUGAAUCAUCGAAUCUUUGAACGCAUAUUGCGCCCUCUGGCAUUCCGGUGGGCAUGCCUGUCCGAGCGUCAUUACUAUCUUCAAGCACAGCUUGGUUGUUGAGCCAAAUUGUCCUCUAAUGGACAGGCUUGAAAUGCAGCGGCGAUGCCAUGUUUGGUGCCCGAGUGUAUGGGGCUUUGUCACACACUUUUGUGGCCAAGCUGGCGUUAGUCUUGACCGUUAAACUAAGAUUUGACCUCGGAUCAGGUAGGGAUACCCGCUGAACUUAAGCAUAUCAAUAAGCGGAGGA
rnacentral:misc_RNA from 1 species